rnacentral:rRNA from 1 species
UACGUAGGGAGCAAGCGUUGUCCGGAAUCAUUGGGCGUAAAGCGCGCGUAGGCGGCCCGGUAAGUCCGCUGUGAAAGUCAAAGGCUCAACCUUUGAAUGUCAGCGGAUACUGCCGGGCUAGAGUGCGGAAGGGGCUACUGGAAUUCUCGGUGUAGCGGUGAAAUGCGUAGAUAUCGAGAGGAACACCUGCGGCGAAGGCGGGUAGCUGGGCCGACACUGACGCUGAGGCGCGAAAGCCAGGGGAGCGAACGGG